rnacentral:rRNA from 1 species
CCUACGGGGUGCAGCAGUGGGGAAUAUUGGUCAAUGGGCGCAAGCCUGACCCAGCAACGCCGCGUGAAGGAAGAAGGCUUUCGGGUUGUAAACUUCUUUUAAGAGGGAAGAGCAGAAGACGGUACCUCUUGAAUAAGCCACGGCUAACUACGUGCCAGCAGCCGCGGUAAUACGUAGGUGGCAAGCGUUGUCCGGAUUUACUGGGGGUAAAGGGCGUGCAGCCGGGAAGACAAGUCAGAUGUGAAAUCCCGGGGCUCAACCGCGGAACUGCAUUUGAAACUGUUUUUCUUGAGUACGGGAGAGGUCAGCGGAAUUCGUGGUGUAGCGGUGAAAUGCGUAGAUAUAAGGAAGAACACCAGUGGCGAAGGCGGAUGACUGGACGGCAACUGACGCUGAGGCGCGAAAGCGUGGGGAGCAAACAGGAUUAGAUACCCUAGUAGUC